UACGGAGGAUGCGAGCGUUAUCCGGAUUUAUUGGGUUUAAAGGGUGCGUAGGCGGACUGUCAAGUCAGCGGUAAAAUUGAGAGGCUCAACCUCUUCCCGCCGUUGAAACUGGUGGUCUUGAGUGGAUGAGAAGUACGCGGAAUGCGUGGUGUAGCGGUGAAAUGCAUAGAUAUCACGCAGAACUCCGAUUGCGAAGGCAGCGUACCGGCGCCCUACUGACGCUGAAGCACGAAGGCGUGGGUAUCGAACAGG
rnacentral:rRNA from 1 species